UGGGGAAUAUUGGGCAAUGGGCGCAAGCCUGACCCAGCCAUGCCGCGUGAGUGACGACGGCCUUAGGGUUGUAAAGCUCUUUUGGCGGGGACGAUAAUGACGGUACCCGCAGAAUAAGCCCCGGCUAACUUCGUGCCAGCAGCCGCGGUAAUACGAAGGGGGCUAGCGUUGUUCGGAAUCACUGGGCGUAAAGCGCACGUAGGCGGACUUUCAAGUCAGGGGUGAAAUCCCGGGGCUCAACCUCGGAACU
rnacentral:rRNA from 1 species